rnacentral:misc_RNA from 1 species
GAAAUGCGAUAAGUAAUGUGAAUUACAGAAUUCCGUGAAUCAUCGAAUCUUUGAACGCACAUUGCGCCCUCUGGCAUUCCGGGGGGCAUGCCUGUCCGAGCGUCAUUACGCACCCUCAAGCCCGGCUUGUGUGAUGGGCCCCGGCGUCUCGUUCGCGAGACGGGCCCGAAAGGCAGCGGCGGCGUCGACCCGAUGAGCCCGAGCGUAUGGGGACUUCUGUCACACGUUCGCGGUGCGGACCGGCGCCUGCUUGACUUUUCUGAUUAUCCAGGUUGACCUCGGAUCAGGUAGGGAUACCCGCUGAACUUAAGC